CCUACGGGAGGCAGCAGUCGGGAAUAUUGGACAAUGGAGGAAACUCUGAUCCAGCAAUGCCGCGUGUGUGAUGAAGGCCCUAGGGUUGUAAAGCACUUUCAACGGUGAAGAUGAUGACGGUAGCCGUAGAAGAAGCCCCGGCUAACUUCGUGCCAGCAGCCGCGGUAAUACGAAGGGGGCGAGCGUUGUUCGGAAUUAUUGGGCGUAAAGGGCGCGCAGGCGGUUUGGAUAGUUAGACGUGAAAGCCCUGGGCUUAACCUAGGAACUGCGUUUAAUACUGCCAAACUAGAGAACUAGAGAGGAUAGCGGAACUCCCAGUGUAGAGGUGAAAUUCGUAGAUAUUGGGAAGAACAUCAGUGGCGAAAGCGGCUGUCUGGCUAGUUUCUGACGCUGAGGCGCGAAAGCGUGGGGAGCAAACAGGAUUAGAUACCCCAGUAGUC
rnacentral:rRNA from 1 species